AUUUGAAGGUCCUAAAGAUCUUAUUAUUGUAACUUCAUUGUUGCUACUUGAACCUCCCUUAGGAUAAGAACUUGCAUGAGAGGUCAUUGGGAGAGGACUUGGCAAUGAUGAGAGAUGAGAUAGGUCAUUGUGAGAGGACUUGGCAAUUGAAUGUCCUAAAGUUCUUAUUAUUGUAACUUCAUUGUUGCUACUUGAACCUCCCCUUGGUUGAGUACUUGCAUGAGAGGUCAUUGGAAUAGGGCUUGGCAAUGGUGAAGGAUAGGGUUGGCUUAUAAUGAAAUUAUCCUUUUUGGAAGGAAUAGAGAUUUCUUGCUGCAUUUUAGUUCCAUUUCCAGCUAGUAACAUGAUUGCCUUGGCCUAGUCAUAGAAAAUAAAAAUCAUUAAUAUACAUAUAAAAGGGAUUCAAUGUUGUCGAUCGCAGAUUGCGGAAAAUAACAGUUUGUUCAAAUUCCACUACGCUAUUAAGAUAAGUUUAGGGUGAAAAAAG
rnacentral:lncRNA from 1 species